rnacentral:rRNA from 1 species
AUUGAACGCUGGCGGCAUGCCUUACACAUGCAAGUCGAGCGGCAGCACGGGAGCAAUCCUGGUGGCGAGUGGCGAACGGGUGAGUAAUAUAUCGGAACGUGCCCAGUAGUGGGGGAUAACUGCUCGAAAGAGCAGCUAAUACCGCAUACGACCUGAGGGUGAAAGGGGGGGAUCGCAAGACCUCUCGCCAUUUGACCGGCCCAGAUCAGAUUAGCUAGUUGGGGGGGUAAAGGCCUACCAAGGCAACGAUCUGUAGUUGGUCUGAGAGGACGACCAGCCACACUGGGACUGAGACACGGCCCAGACUCCUACGGGGGGCAGCAGUGGGGAAUUUUGGACAAUGGGCGCAAGCCUGAUCCAGCAAUGCCGCGUGCAGGAAGAAGGCCUUCGGGUUGUAAACUGCUUUUGUCAGGGAAGAAAUCCUCUAGGUUAAUACCCUUGGGGGGAUGACGGUACCUGAAGAAUAAGCACCGGCUAACUACGUGCCAGCAGCCGCGGUAACAC